rnacentral:pre_miRNA from 1 species
UCAAAACAUGUUUACAAACAAAAGUUAUUGUGCGUUGGACAUUAUCCUUAUGCCCAACACACAAUAACUUUUGUUUGUAAAUAUGUUUU